rnacentral:snoRNA from 1 species
AUGACCUUACUUGAAUAGGAUCUGUUCUAUAGGCUCGUACUACUGUAGGGCUGACAACGGAACCGGUAACGGAACUACCGGACCGGCACCAACCGGAACCGGCGUCCACCAGGCGGAAAAAGGCCGGAACCGGGACUGCAUCGGUACCGGUAGUUUUGGAAUUUAUACGUUGU